AUGGCUCAGAUUGAACGCUGGCGGCAGGCCUAACACAUGCAAGUCGAACGGUAGCACAGAGGAGCUUGCUCCUGGGUGACGAGUGGCGGACGGGUGAGUAAUGUCUGGGAAACUGCCCGAUGGAGAGGGAUAACUACUGGAAACGGUAGCUAAUACCGCAUAACGUCGCAAGACCAAAGAGGGGGACCUUCGGGCCUCUUGCCAUCGGAUGUGCCCAGAUGGGAUUAGCUAGUAGGUGGGGUAACGGCUCACCUAGGCGACGAUCCCUAGCUGGUCUGAGAGGAUGACCAGCCACACUGGAACUGAGACACGGUCCAGACUCCUACGGGAGGCAGCAGUGGGGAAUAUUGCACAAUGGGCGCAAGCCUGAUGCAGCCACGCCGCGUGGAUGAAGAAGGCCGGAAGGUUGUAAAAUCCUUUUGAAACUGAAGAAUAAGCGUUGUAGGGAAUGACAGCGUGGUGACAGUAGGUUUUGAAUAAGCAACGGCUAAUUACGUGCCAGCAGCGGC
rnacentral:rRNA from 1 species